rnacentral:piRNA from 1 species
UAAGGACAAAGGGUGCCGGGACACAAGC